CGCUUCGCUCGUGUGCAGUGGAAUCUUGUGGGCUGGGGUUCAGCCCACAAGAUUGAAACGGAAAGCGGGACGAUGC
rnacentral:sRNA from 1 species